UUGCACUGGCACCCACUCCACUAUCAUUAUUAUUUCAGUUUGUCAGUUCCAGAUCUCCAAGAAGAAAGUCUGAUUAUUCAGCUUGGGACCCUUCUUCUCUCUACUCUCUUUCUCCAACAAAGACACUUCAGUCUGGUUCCCUUGGCUGCCCCAUCUCUAUUUGCCAAUGAGCGUAACUAGGAAUGCAACCUACCAGACUUGGAAUCCCCCUCCACUAUCGCCUCUGCCAACCCCAUACCAACCCCUGAAAGCACUGCCUCUAAGCAUGCGAGGGCCUCCACUCCAAAGGUCGACCCCACACCAGUGUGUAACCGUGACUUUGAGACCAGAACCUCCCUUUUCGCGUUUCUUACUAUAACCCACGAGGUAGAUAUUUUGAGGUAUGAGCCUUCUAACAGUCUUCAUUCCUUAUUUACUCUAAAACAGGUACUCAUUUCCUCUUCCAAUCUGUCCAACUCCUAAAUAUAGUUGAUAAUUAAUUAUGAUACUUUACGCAGAUUGAUUAACUUAGAUCAUAUUUCUUCAUUUCACAUUAAUUAUAAUCAUAAAUGUGAAACAUGUGUUGAGGUAAAACUAAUAAGGUCUUCAUUUUAAUCUGUUGAAAGAAAUACUGAACCACCUGAUCUAAUAUAUAGUGAUAUUUGUGACUUAAAGUUUAAUCAAACUAGAGGAGGGAAUAAAUAUUUUAUUAUCUUUAUUGAUGAUAGCACAAAAUAUUGUUAUGUAUAUUUUCUUAAAAGCAAAGAUGAAGUUAUAGAGAAAUUCGUUCUCUAUAAGUAGGAAGUUAAAACCCAACUUAAUAAAAGAAUUAAGAGGGUGAGAAGUGACCAUGGUGGUGAAUAUGUUGAACCAUUUGGUAAAUUUUGUGCACAACAUGGUAUUAUUUAUGAAGUGACACCACUAUACUCUUCUCAAUCCAAUGGAGUAGUAAAGCAGAAAAA